rnacentral:rRNA from 1 species
UACGGAGGAUCCAAGCGUUAUCCGGAUUUAUUGGGUUUAAAGGGUGCGUAGGCGGAAGAUUAAGUCGGUGGUGAAAUUUUGCAGCUCAACUGUAAAAGUGCCAUUGAUACUGGUUUUCUUGAGUAUGGAUGAAGUAGGCGGAAUUUGUGGUGUAGCGGUGAAAUGCAUAGAUAUCACGAGGAACUCCGAUUGCGCAGGCAGCUUACUAAACUACUACUGACGCUCAGGCACGAAGGCGUGGGGAUCAAACAGGAUUAGAUACCCCCGUAGU